rnacentral:rRNA from 1 species
UACGGAGGGGGCUAGCGUUGUUCGGAAUUACUGGGCGUAAAGCGCGCGUAGGCGGACCUGCAAGUCGGGGGUGAAAGCCCGAGGCUCAACCUCGGAACUGCCUUCGAUACUGCGGGUCUCGAGUCCGGGAGAGGUGAGUGGAAUUCCUAGUGUAGAGGUGAAAUUCGUAGAUAUUAGGAAGAACACCAGUGGCGAAGGCGGCUAUCUGGACGGUUUCUGACACUAAGACUCGAAAGCGUGGGGAGCAAACAGG